rnacentral:rRNA from 1 species
CCUACGGGGGGCAGCAGUAGGGAAUUUUCGUCAAUGGGCGCAAGCCUGAACGAGCAAUGCCGCGUGAACGAGGAAGGUCUUCGGAUCGUAAAGUUCUGUUGAAGGGGAAAAAGAGCGGAGAGAGGAAAUGAACUCCGAUUGAUAUUAUCCUUCGAGGAAGUCACGGCUAACUACGUGCCAGCAGCCGCGGUAAUACGUAGGUGGCGAGUGUUAUCCGGAAUGAUUGGGCGUAAAGGGUGCGUAGGCGGCCUGCUAAGUCUGGAGUGAAAGGUACCGGCUCAACCGGUAUAGGCUCUGGAAACUGGCGGGCUAGAGGGCAGGAGAGGGCGGUGGAACUCCAUGUGUAGCGGUAAAAUGCGUAGAUAUAUGGAAGAACACCAGUGGCGAAGGCGGCCGCCUGGCCUGUUACUGACGCUGAGGCACGAAAGCGUGGGUAGCAAACAGGAUUAGAUACCCGGGUAGUC